CAACUACCGACUCUUCCCUCAGCCCCAGAAGCCGCCAUCCCACCUUCUGUCUCUGUGGAUCUGGAUACGCCAGUGAUUUAUGGAAAACAUGCUGAGCUCUGGCUUUUAGGAACGACAGGGGUGGAACCCCGCCUACCUCAUAAAACCAUACCCAAGAGCCUGUGGAUGAGCAAAAUCGCAUGGCGUCCAAGGGCUGGCAAAGUGCGUCUUCAGAGAGGGUCCUUGUGAGCAGUGCUGCAGUCCGUCUCAUUGGACAAUGCAGCACUGGCGAAGCAACGGCAAAUCUGUUUAUUGUCACACCCCACUGAGGCUUGAGUACCUGCCACCCCAUCAAGAACCUAGAGAAAGAAAGCCUUGCAACACCUCCUGGACUUGGCCAAGUCUUGUUUCCCUACUUUCUUUCACAGACACCUGUCAAUGAUCAACAGAAAUGGCUCAGAACUACCGAGUGGCCCGGGCCAGGAAAGCCACGAAAGCUCAGGAUUCUGCUGUAGAGCUGGCAUGUGCAGCCCCUGCCUGGCUGGGCUAUGAGACAAGGGCACAGACACACAAGGACAGAGGUGACAUGACUGACGUCUCAGCACAGAAGUGGCCAGACCUGUAUUCUCACGGACUUCAUGCUGUUUAAAGACAAUGGUGAUGGGACAGCUUUCGGAGUCAAACAGAAAAGAAUGGACUCCACAACACCUGGACUCCAUGAUUUAUUAUAUGCGUUGCAACAUAUACAGGCAUACCUCAUUUUACUGCAUUUCACUUUAUUGUAUUUUUUACAAAUUGAAGAUUUGUAGCAACCUCCCGUGGACCAAGCCUAUCAAUGUCAUUUUUCCAACAUCAUUUUCCCACUUUGUGUCUCUGUGUCAUAUUAUAGUAAUUCUUGCAAUAUUUCAGACUUUUUCAUUACUAUUGAUAUGUUUGUUACAGUGAUCAGUGAUCGUUAAUGUUACUACAAUGAUUUGCUGAAGGUUUGUAGAUUAUCACAAUUUGCAGCUUAUGGUUAAUGUUUGUUAGCAAAAAUAUUUUAAAAUUAAGGUAUGUACUUUUUGUUAGACAUAAUGUUAUUGCAUAGUUAAUAGACUACAAUAGAGUGUAGUUUUUAUGUGCAGUGGAAAAUAAAAAAAUUUGUCGGACUCA
ensembl:lncRNA